GAGCUGGGCUGGGGCUUUGGGCAUUUACUUCCAGAGGCAGAGCCUUGCACGGUGCUCAGAGCCCUGUGGAGCUCACAGUGGGACACAGGGCCCACUGAGGAUGAGUGGGAUGAGGAUGAUCCAGAUUCAGCCCAGGACUCUAGGGAUGCAUAUUCCUCUCCUGGAACUUGUAUAUCCGGCCUGAGGAUGAAAACCCCCCCAAGGCCUGAGCAUAACAAGCAUUUCUUGUGUUUCUCCUGUCUCCGUCACAUCGGGCAUGUAGCGAAUGCUCGGGCUGAUAAACAGCAUCUGGUUGGAGUCAGGAGGCGGAGGAAAUUCUUGUACAGAAAUGGAAACGCACCCCUCCUGCCAAGCUAUUAAUUCUGCUUCCUAUGGAAAGCGAGGGGUCCCUGCCUUUGUGCUCUGAUUCUGCGCUGAACUUCCAAGUUUAUUUUUAUGCCCAGAUUUGGCAAAGCACUGAGGGCUGAGGGUGGUGCUGCGUGUGAGCUGAGGUCUCUCCCUGCUCUGUCUGAAACACCUACCAGCACCCACAGGCACGUGCUCCAGCAAACACCCCCACACUGCGCUUGUUCCUUACUAUGAGACUUUCUUUUCUUGUCCUUGCCAAGUUAUCGUCUGCUUUAAUUAAUUUUGCACAGUGAGCCUGGGAGCUGCUGGUGGUUUUGAGCCUCUGGAAUAGUCAGGGAAGCAAUUUAAUCAGCAUGAGUGAGCCAAAGUUACUUAAGCGAUUUGUAAUAAGUUCCAGGCUCUUCCACACCAAAGGGGUUUCAGCCGAGGACAGAAACUUCCUGAGCCUGUUCUGCAGGAUGGGCUCUUCAUCUGCAUCUGACCGACACUUGUGUGGGGAUGUGGGGCAGCCCUGAAUGAGAAUUCACAGAAUCACAGGGUGUUUGGGGCUGGAAAUUACCUUUAAAGUCCAUUUAGUCCAAGCCCCUGCUGUGGGCAGGGACAUCUUCACCUCCAGAGCCUUGUGUAUGUACAAAAUGCCACAGCAUUGUCAAAAAGUUAUGAGUGGAAUUUCACCUCCAACCACAAGUAUAAAAUAUUGGUGAGCCUUAGGCUGAAUUUGUCAGCCCUGCACUGACCAAGGCAGUGGUGGUUCUGUUUUUUCAGAAAACAUAAAAUCCAAGAAAUUCCCCAGUGACUAAGCAGGCACUGUAAAUUGGUUGCUAUUGUAAAGCUGUGGGUGACAUUUCCUCAGCUUUGAACAGACCAAAUAUACAAGAGUGGAAAAAAGACAGCUAGAGAGGAAUGAACACAAAAGGCUGUGCCUUUAAUUAAUGCUGCUGUUUUCUUCACCAUUUCCAAGGAAACUCACUGCUGAUAUUGAAACUAGAUUUAAUAUUGUGACUUGUAUAAGAAGAUGGUGGAUUUUAAGGUGUCUGAAUCCUUAUCAUCCCCUUGCACAGGACAAGGGGAAGAAAGGGGUCAGCAGGUGUUGCUGUGGGUUUUGCAGCCCCUGUGGUGGGGCUGGCUUUGGGGCAGGGGGUGCUGCUCCCCCUCUGCAGCCCACGAGCACAGAGCAGACCCAGCAGGUUCUCGUUUGGGCUGGGCUUUCCUCUCCUGUGCCAU